AUUGAACGCUGGCGGCAGGCCUAACACAUGCAAGUCGAGCGGAUGACGGGAGCUUGCUCCUUGAUUCAGCGGCGGACGGGUGAGUAAUGCCUAGGAAUCUGCCUGGUAGUGGGGGACAACGUUUCGAGAGGAACGCUAAUACCGCAUACGUCCUACGGGAGAAAGCAGGGGACCUUCGGGCCUUGCGCUAUCAGAUGAGCCUAGGUCGGAUUAGUUAGUUGGUGGGGUAAUGGUUCACCAAGGUGACGAUCCGUAACUGGUCUGAGAGGAUGAUCAGUCACACUGGAACUGAGACACGGUCCAGACUCCUACGGGAGGCAGCAGUGGGGAAUAUUGGACAAUGGGCGAAAGCCUGAUCCAGCCAUGCCGCGUGUGUGAAGAAGGUCUUCGGAUUGUAAAGCACUUUAAGUUGGGAGGAAGGGCAGUAAGUUAAUACCUUGCUGUUUUGACGUUACCGACAGAAUAAGCACCGGCUAACUCUGUGCCAGCAGCCGCGGUAA
rnacentral:rRNA from 1 species